UAUGUAAGUUUGUGUGGCUGUGCGUGAAGGCAGUAUGGAUGUGGGCGGAGGUGUGAAGGUAUUUGAGGUCACAUCACACGCUGUCUGAACGAAUGUUUGCUCAACUAUAAGUUCUAUUGCAUGAUAUUACAUUCAAUUCCCUCGGUAGGCACUUACAUUUCUCCUCACGUCAUUUCCCAGGAAAACAACCACCUAUCAGAAAUGGACUCCAUCCUGCAAUAAAAGUCAGCGGGGAGAAAAAAAGAUUGUUGACUGGAAACUGUUUUAGUACCACAGACUCCACAGGAAGACACUUAAACCAUAGGGUGCCGUCAAAACCUGCAACACCGGCCACAGACGAGACGGACAGACUCACAGCUCCACUGUUAAGCAGAGAGGGGGAGCCGCUACCUUCAAACUGAGAACUCACAGAAAGCCACUACACCUCCAAAUGACACCACCAGACAAUUAAUACAGGAAUCAAGGACCUGUAAAAUUGUUCUAGAACUGUCCAAAACGAAC
rnacentral:lncRNA from 1 species